AACCAUAAUUUUUAAAGGGGUGGCCUCGGUCAGAUGACCAAAAGUUCCAGCUGCGGGUCAUCUAGACCCGCGCCAGGAAACAGUUGUCCUGUUACCAGACAAACCUUACGUCUUGUAGUAUGGCGGAGUGUUGAAGGUAGUGUGUUGUGGCAUGGAGUGACUUGAAGAGUGUUUCUUCAGAUUCCCUGGGGUUACACCGCGUGGAGAACACUUCACACAGUGAGGGUGCCAUCUCCCUACAUCUCUACUGCCCACCAUUCAACAGCUGCUACAAGUUUGACGAACGUACUGGCAAGAGGAUAAAAUGUCCCGUCACCUUCUGGACCAAACAUGGGCGGAAAACAGAACAGAAAAACUCAAAUGUCUGUUGCUAAGAGGACAGAAGAUGCAAGAAACAACUUAUCCACAGUAGUUGUCUAACCAUUAUUCUCCUUGACAAACUACUCUUCUAUAAUUGCCGUUAAAGAUGGCCCAUAUGUAUUGAAAAUUAUUAAUAGGUAAAGAUGCCUCAUAGUCUUGUACAUAACUGUAUCUUUCAAACAGCUUUAGUGUGGACAUAAUCUUUAACUUGUUUGACUGAGAAAGAUAGUUUAUUUUAAAAUAAAGAUUAGGCAACUUUUAAAUCAUUAAGGAUUAUAAUGUGUAAUUGUACAGGUGUCCGAAACAAAACUGCCAAUUAAUUUUACUAUACCAGCUGUUUCACGCAAGUAUCUGAUUUGUGAUGACGGUAGUAGUAGUAGUAUUUAUAAAACUGUUUAUAAUCAUAACCAUAAUUUUUAAAGAGGUGGGCCGGUGAGCCAGCGGAAGGCCUCUGUCAGAUGACCAAAAGCUCCAGCUUCGGGUCAUCAUAUGACUGAGACCCGCGUCAGGAAAUACUUGUCCUGUUUCCUGACGAACCUUACCUAAUCUAAUCUUUAGUAACAUAAUUAGUGUUAAUACAUUCGUAGGGAAGACCUCAUCCCGUAAAGGCCAUAAUGUGCCCGGGGGAAGGGAAGAAAUCAGGUUAGAUUCAAAUGGAGGAAAGCUUUAAUUCCUUGGAUCAAGUGCCUUUCACCAACACAUUGCAAUGCGCUUGAAGGGUCUUUAGCAGCAUACAUUUACUGGUCAAAGGAAACGUUAUCAUUAGUUCAAAUAACCCACACUUUAAAGACGAAGCUCUAGACAACGUUUCGGUCCUUCCUAGGUUAGGUUUGGUAUGGUUUGUCAGAAAGCAGGACAAUUGUUUCCUGACGCGGGUCUUAUAUGAUAACCCGCCACUGGAGCUCUUGGUCACAUGCCCGAGUCAACCCCUUUCAAAAUUUAGGCUUCCGUCCUAGACCAUUAACAAGGCACAACUGUUGAAGCUUGAUAAUUGUCCAGAAUGGACCGAAAAGUCCUUCGAAGUUUCUUCUCCGAGGUUCAAACUCCUUGUGAAUGGUUCCUUCCACUGUGACUUAUUCUUCACUAUUAUUAGUUACUCCAGGAUACUACUAUAUUUGACAGUCGUCUAGGCUAUCUUGCUCAUCAAAAACCUAGUAUAUUUUGAGUGAAUUUCAGUAUUUUUAUAUUUAAGCAUCCUGUACUUUCUUCCAAAUUUUUUAUUUAUAUUUCUUAUAUGUUUAAGAUUAAUAUCAAUAAUCAUAAAAGUCACACAAUACACAAAUGUUAUCAUAAGUGUUGAUAAUCAUUUGCAAAAUAAAAUGACGAUUAAUAAUGGUUCUAAGGUUAUAAACUUAUUCCUUCUAUAUAAUUAUUGAAUCCUUCAAGGUUUUAAUACUUUAUGACUGCUUGUUAAUGUGUGCCAGACACUGGUGAUGACACAUGUUGCAUAACAAGCUCAAUACUUGCUUAAUAAAGCUCGACACAGAGGGAAACGUUAUCCCCAUAAAAGCUUCUUUUGCAGUGUAUGUCUGCUUUGUUAUUGUAGUAAUGUUGGUAAAAUUACACACAAUAUGUUAGGUAAAAAGACACUAAGUGCAAAUAAUGUGACAUUUUAUUGUGGUAACGUUUCGCUCCUGGAGAGCGAAACGUUGCUGCAGUAAAAUGUCGCAUUUGUGUCCCUUUGCUUCGCUAUUGUCGCCAGAACGUCAUUAAGAUCGAGUGUAUAUGUAACAAUGUUCUGUAGCAUAAGUGAAAUUUAGUGUUGGACGAGAACAUGACAUCCAUUGACUUGAUUUUUAAAAAUACCAAAAUUUUGGUAACUGCAGAUUUUGCAUUCACUAUAAUCGGAUAUUAGCCAAAGUUUUCUUAGUCAUAAUAAAAACCUGGAGUAAAGAAAAGGUCAUCGUAUCUUAGGACAUUAAUACUUUGUGAACUUUUGCAUAUUUAAAUAGGGGUAAAAAGCCUAGCUGGGAGUAGGUCAGUGAAUGUUUAACUACUUAAGGCGGGGGUUCUUAACCUGGGGUAUCCAUACCUCUUGUGGGGUAUGGGAACCAUAUAAUGGGGGUAUGGGAACCAAAUAAUGGGGGUAUGGGAACUAAAUAUUGGGCGUAUGGGACUCAAAUAAUGGUGGGAUGGGAUUCAAAUAAUGGGGGUAUGGGCCUCAUUCUAUGAACAAUUUGCCUUUUCUAUAAAUGAUAAAAUACUUAUGAUUUUUCGGCUGUUCUGUUCUUAGCUUAUGUAAAGUCGUACGGGUACUUAAUAAGAUUGGUGGUGAGGAUGAUUUCGAAGAAUGCAUGGGAACAUACUGGGCAAUUCAUUAGGGGUCUGAAAUCGUAAAGGCUAAGAACCCCUGACUAAAGAAAGAAUAAUGAUUGACCUGUACAGUCAGGCUAUGGAUGAUGGCAACAAAAGUUGGCGAGAAUGCACACUUUAAUUUACAAUUGUUCUUAGGGUGGUUGCACCAGCAAUCUCGUCAUGGAUGUUGAUGUUUUCGACAAAUUUCCACCCAUUCCAAGCAAAAUUACAGAUGUUAACUUAUUUUUGGCAAAUUAUAUAACCUAUUUGUUAAUCGAAGUUUAUUCUAGUUUUAUAGUCCUCUGUGUAUUAAAUUUUAAGUCAGAUUUUAUUACCCUGUGUCUAUAUUUUUACUAUCUGUUGUCUGUUAUAUAUAGUAAUGUAUUUUUGUUAACAAUUAUAAAUAGUACAUGGAGUGGUUACUACAUAUUCUACAUGAUAUAUUAAAAGGUUAAAGCAAGGUAAAUCAGUUUUUUUUUGGUUACUGGGGAUAAAUAAUGCAGUAAGAUGUUGAUAAUCGCGUAAUAUUCUUUUCAUUUAAUUACGCAUUGCAUAAUUUUGUUUUAUAUAACAAAGUGGAAAGAGAACCUGGUAAGAAGAUAAAUCAGUUUCAUUUUUGAAUUGUAUUAAACAGAUUAAUAGUAUGACUUGUACAGAUAUAUAUAUAUAUAUAUAUAUAUAUAUAUAUAUAUAUAUAUAUAUAUAUAUAUAUAUAUAUAUAUAUAUAUAUAUAUAUAUAUAUAUAUAUAUAUAUAUAUUUAAUCUUUAUCAAGUUUUUAAAUUUGGAAAAUACAUGCUAUAGUAUAUGUUAAUUUUAUGUGAUUAGCAGUAAAAUGGUGAAGGGAGAUGGUAUUCUUAUAAUAAAUUGUUUAAAUUUAAA